GAAGGCCUUCGGGUUGUAAAGCACUUUCAGUAGGGAGGAAGGUAGUGUAGUUAACACCUGCAUUAUUUGACGUUACCUACAGAAGAAGCACCGGCUAACUCCGUGCCAGCAGCCGCGGUAAUACGGAGGGUGCGAGCGUUAAUCGGAAUUACUGGGCGUAAAGCGCAUGCAGGCGGCCUGUUAAGUCAGAUGUGAAAGCCCGGGGCGUUAACCUCGGAAUUGCAUUUGAAACUGGCAGGCUAGAGUCUUGUAGAGGGGGGUAGGAAUUUCAGGUGUAGCGGUGAAAUGCGUAGAGAUCUGAAGGAAUACCAGUGGCGAAGGCGGCCCCCCUCGGACAAAGACUGACGCUCAGAUGCGAAAGCGUGGGGAGCAAACAGGAUUAGAUACCCUGGUAG
rnacentral:rRNA from 1 species